AUUGAACGCUGGCGGCAGGCCUAACACAUGCAAGUCGAGCGGAUGAAGGGAGCUUGCUCCUGGAUUCAGCGGCGGACGGGUGAGUAAUGCCUAGGAAUCUGCCUGGUAGUGGGGGAUAACGUCCGGAAACGGGCGCUAAUACCGCAUACGUCCUGAGGGAGAAAGUGGGGGAUCUUCGGACCUCACUCUAUCAGAUGAGCCUAGGUCGGAUUAGCUAGUUGGUGGGGUAAAGGCCUACCAAGGCGACGAUCCGUAACUGGUCUGAGAGGAUGAUCAGUCACACUGGAACUGAGACACGGUCCAGACUCCUACGGGAGGCAGCAGUGGGGAAUAUUGGACAAUGGGCGAAAGCCUGAUCCAGCCAUGCCGCGUGUGUGAAGAAGGUCUUCGGAUUGUAAAGCACUUUAAGUUGGGAGGAAGGGCAGUAAGUUAAUACCUUGCUGUUUUGACGUUACCAACAGAAUAAGCACCGGCUAACUUCGU
rnacentral:rRNA from 1 species